rnacentral:misc_RNA from 1 species
UUCAUGGUCCCCUGCCAUGACUGUAAGUUCCAUCUGCAUCAGCAUUCUCUCGAUGUUGUCUAGCUCAACUGUGAAGCAACGUCCUGCGGACAACGAUCGCUAUGUGAAGAACUGCAAAAACGGCAGGUCUCCCAAAGAGACGAGAUGGUGGUUCCAUGACGAUAAAGUGUAGUAACAUUAGCUACACAUGAUUGCAACAGUAGUGACUCCAACUCCCAUACCAACUGAAAAGUUCUCUUUUCCCUCCCAAAAAGCAAAGAGAAUUUGGUUUAUAAAAAGAAAUAGUAAUAGAAGAACAACCGACAUUCUUAAUUUGCCAGUUUGCAUUGUAUGCUGAGCAAAAUUUUAAAGCUGCUAUAAAGCAGCCUUUACUUGUAUAGCAGUGUAAGUGCUUCUGGUUGAAUGUGAUACAGAAGCAUAGGUUGGAAAAUUGUGUUUUAUGCUAUAAUGGCUGUGGCCUUAAAAUCCAGCCCUUUAUCGUCCACCUUAGCGUGCGAUGUACCUAUGUAUCUAACUUUGCUUUGCUUGAUUAAAAG